rnacentral:rRNA from 1 species
GUUUGAUCAUGGCUCAGGACGAACGCUGGCGGCGUGCCUAAUACAUGCAAGUCGAACGGGAUAUGUUCGGGUGGUAACACCUGGGCAUAUCUAGUGGCGAACGGGUGAGUAACACGUGAGAAACCUGCCCUAAAGACGGGGAUAACAGGAGGAAACUCCUGCUAAUACCCGACAUCCCCACCGGAUCGCAUGGUCUGGUGAGGAAAUGGAUUCCGCUUUAGGAGGGUCUCGCGGCCUAUCAGCUUGUUGGUGGGGUAACGGCCUACCAAGGCUUCGACGGGUAGCUGGUCUGAGAGGACGAUCAGCCACACUGGGACUGAGACACGGCCCAGACUCCUACGGGAGGCAGCAGUAAGGAAUAUUGCGCAAUGGGCGAAAGCCUGACGCAGCAACGCCGCGUGCGGGACGAAGGCCCUCGGGUUGUAAACCGCUUUCAGUAGGGAAGAAAAUGACGGUACCUACAGAAGAAGCCCCGGCCAACUACGUGCCAGCAGCCGCGGUAACACGUAGGGGGCAAGCGUUGUCCGGAUUUAUUGGGCGUAAAGAGCUCGUAGGCGGUUUCGUAAGUCGGAUGUGAAAACUCCAGGCUCAACUUGGAGACGCCAUUCGAUACUGCGAUGACUAGAGUCCGGUAGGGGAGUGUGGAAUUCCUGGUGUAGCGGUGAAAUGCGCAGAUAUCAGGAGGAACACCGGCGGCGAAGGCGGCACUCUGGGCCGGUACUGACGCUGAGGAGCGAAAGCGUGGGUAGCAAACAGGAUUAGAUACCCUGGUAGUCCACGCCGUAAACGGUGGGCACUAGGUGUGGGGAUCACUCAACGGUCUCCGUGCCGCAGCUAACGCAUUAAGUGCCCCGCCUGGGGAGUACGGCCGCAAGGCUAAAACUCAAAGGAAUUG